rnacentral:tRNA from 1 species
UCCCUGGUGGUCCAGUGGUUAAGGCUCUGUGGUCCCAGUGUAGAGGGCCCAGGUUCAAUCCCUGGUCAGGGAA